UUUGAAACCUGAAAGGUUGCUGCAAAAUGGUUACAUGUUGAUGGCAUAAUAACAAAAAAUGCUCAGCAUGGAUAGGCCUGAGUUAUCAGCUAAAUAGAGUGAAAGGCAGUCAGUUAGCAAUUUUUCAUACCCAUUGAGAUCUUCAAGGAGUUCACUGGAGAUUUUUGCAGGUUCAGCAUUUAACAAAGGAGUUUGGGAGUGAAUGACACCAGAUGUGUACCUGGUACUGCGCUUCUGAUCAGCAUUGACGCCUUGGUACACAUUUUUGAGAUCUUUAAGCAGUUGCAGGCGUUCAAUUUCUUCAUCUUUCUUUGUGAUUGUGUCCUUGAGAGAUGCCACCUGAAUGGAAAUUACAGAAAAGAGCAAAAGGAUUUCAUAAUUAUUAAUGAAAGUGAAGGAUGUGAUCAGUAGAUAUAUUUGGAUAGCAGCAAAAUCAACUAAUCAUCAUCAAUUCUCAGUUCCCAAAAUCAAUAGCUUGAUGAUAGAUCUCAAAAAUAUCCCAGGGAAUCAAGGCAAGAUGGUUAAAGUGUAAAAAUAUGCCAAACCAUUCUAUGUGAUCGUAAAAUCCCUUUAAACCUAUAAUGAAAGUUUUUGGGACAGCUAUAAGACAAGAUAUUUUUUCAGGUCUAUCAAAUGAAGACUGCCUCGCAGAGAGGCACCACUCUUUGUAUCCGUCCCAUGAGUGUGAAUAGUUACAAUACUGAAUGCACAUGUUCACAUCAAAAUCAUGAUAUAAUGGUAAAUCAUUUAUAGUUCUUCAUAAAUGCUUAACAUUCAACAAACUGAGAACCUGUGGGAUCGGCUGCUUCUUUCAUUUAAGGCAGUGGCACCCUUGGCUCUAUUCCUCAAUCCAAUUUCCAUUAAUUCCACUACAUCAGAGGUAGAAAUCACU